GUGUCAGCAGCCGCGGUAAUACGUAGGUGACAAGCGUUGUCCGGAUUUACUGGGCGUAAAGAGCGCGCAGGCGGUCGUUCAAGUCGAGUGUGAAAGCCCCCGGCUCAACUGGGGAGGGUCACUCGAUACUGAUCGACUCGAAGGCAGGAGAGGGUAGUGGAAUUCCCGGUGUAGUGGUGAAAUGCGUAGAUAUCGGGAGGAACACCAGUGGCGAAGGCGGUUGCCUGGAGCUUUGCUGACGCUGAGGCACGAAAGCUAGGGGAGCAAACAGGAUUAGAAACCCUCGUAGUCC
rnacentral:rRNA from 1 species